rnacentral:rRNA from 1 species
CCCUUAGAUGUUCUGGGCCGCACGCGCGCUACACUGAUUCAUACAACAAGUUUUGUCCUUGGCUGAUAGGCCUGGGUAAUCUUUGAACGUGAAUCGUGAUGGGGAUAGAUGAUUGCAAUUAUUCAUCUUCAACGAGGAAUUCCUAGUAAACGCAAGUCAUCAGCUUGCAUUGAUUACGUCCCUGCCCUUUGUACACACCGCCCGUCGCACCUACCGAUUGAAUGGUCCGGUGAAAUCUUCGGAUCUGAGAGAUGUCUGAUUAAUUUCGGACGCCUUUUGGAAAAGUUGUUUAAACCUUACCAUUUAGAGGAAGGUGAANUCGUAACA